rnacentral:rRNA from 1 species
UACAGAGGUGGCAAGCGUUGUUCGGAAUCACUGGGCAUAAAGGGCGCGUAGGCGGCGAUACAAGUCAGGUGUGAAAGCCCUCAGCUUAACUGGGGAAUUGCGCCUGAAACUAUAUUGCUUGAGUGUAGGAGGGGAGAGUGGAACUCCUAGUGGAGCGGUGAAAUGCGUAGAGAUUAGGAGGAACGCCGGUGGCGAAAGCGACUCUCUGGCCUACUACUGACGCUGAUGCGCGAAAGCUAGGGGAGCAAACGGG